CUCUAAAAGACAAAACAUGAACACGCAGCGUGUACACACGUUUGUUACUCUUCACAUCAUACUGUCCAAGACCACGAGUUGUCUCAUUUAAUCAACGGGGACAUUUUCCACUAUUACAGCCUUCAUCAAGUUUCAACAACUGAACUGACUAACUUAUAAACGUGUUCCCCCCCGGCUGACGUAGACUUCGAGGAAUUCUGACGUCAACACACAAAGUCGCACAGGGGACGUUUUAGGGAGAAAAAGACAACAAGUAAUCCUGUCAGUGCGAUGGGGAAUAUCGACCUCUGCUGUUCCGUCUCCGGAGGCAGGGCAAGACAGUGGAAGCAGCGAAAUCAAGUUAUGAGAACGGGCUGCUUGAGUGAAUAAUGCAAAGAUUAAGUUUCCAGUGUGUUCAAAGUAAUCAGUAUCAGAAACUCCUAAAUCUUAAAGUGUACAAUAUUCCAAAGGGAACCCGAGCAUCCUGAGACACAUUUUUAACAGACUGCCCUUACGUUUCUAGACCAUAGCUUCUGUCUUGAGCUUACAUUGUACCAAUAAAGCUCUCUCUUUUGUUUCAGAAUAUUUCGUUGCAACACUAAAACUGACAGCCUAAAAGUACCAUCUGCUUUAAAAAGACCUGGGGAAGACGCGAAACCUUCGAUAGGUGUGUACAUUUGUAUGAAAUUUGAUAUUUUAACGUAAGGAUAGGUUGUCAUCAUUCAUCCCUCUGAAAGCCUUCUUGGAGUAUUCCCAGAAGUCAUUAAUGGAGACAGCAGCCUAAAUCUCUUUCAGACUGCCAUAUAAAUCUGAAUGUUUUGGACAGCCGAUUUUUUACCAGUACUGGGGGAAUAACUUUUGUCUCCGUUGUAACAUCUGAGCUGCCGGUUUCCAAAACGGGUUUUCUCCCAAGGUCAACAGAAAGCAGCCCACGUCACCAUGAGGCACCAUAUACGAAGCAGCACAGAACAUCGUCGCAAAUCGAUCGGGAACGCAGCAGCCGACCCGUCACUUUUGAAUGAUUCUCAUCUCAAAGAUCGAAAGUUUUCUCUAGCGUCAAAUAGUCCAGACAGCUCUUCCGGGCAAAAGAUUCUUGGUGGAAAGCAUCACCCCGGAAAUGGGAGAUCAUUUUCCCUCUCUGGUUUGAUCUCGCGCAGACGUUCUCUUCCCGCCCGUGCGUUUUAUGGCACGAAAAUAUCGGAAGCUCGCAGAUAUUCUGGUCCUGGGGAACCGGAUGGCAGGAACCAGGAACUGAAUUUUUACAGAAUUAAAAUUCUUGUCGUCUGUUUUAUCCUUUUCCUCUCACUCGCAAUGCUAUUCUUGUUUAUCAAGUCACAUAAAAAUAGCUUCAAUCUCAAGGACUGGUUUUCUUUGGAGCCUUCUUCAGCUUCAAAGGCCAAGGAAAAUGUGGAUUAAUAAUUGUGAUCUGAGUAAUUUAUUCUCCAAAAUAAGUUCCUGGUGUUUCAAACUGAGCAGAGGUCUUCCGUAGACACAAUAAUUUUGUCUUUGCUUUUAAUGAGGGACCAAAUGUUGUCUUGUGUUUACAUUUCGGUGUCGGUGCGUAUUGAAUUUUGAAAUGCACAAAAUCAACUUUUAUCAUCCCAGUAACGUUUUU